GUGGGGAAUAUUGGACAAUGGGCGAAAGCCUGAUCCAGCCAUGCCGCGUGUGUGAAGAAGGUCUUCGGAUUGUAAAGCACUUUAAGUUGGGAGGAAGGGCAGUAAGUUAAUACCUUGCUGUUUUGACGUUACCAACAGAAUAAGCACCGGCUAACUUCGUGCCAGCAGCCGCGGUAAUACGAAGGGUGCAAGCGUUAAUCGGAAUUACUGGGCGUAAAGCGCGCGUAGGUGGUUCAGCAAGUUGAAGGUGAAAUCCCCGGGCUCAACCUGGGAACUGCAUCCAAAACUACUGAGCUAGAGUACGGUAGAGGGUAGUGGAAUUUCCUGUGUAGCGGUGAAAUGCGUAGAUAUAGGAAGGAACACCAGUGGCGAAGGCGACUACCUGGACUGAUACUGACACUGAGGUGCGAAAGCGUGGGGAGCAAACAGGAUUAGAUACCCCAGUAGUCC
rnacentral:rRNA from 1 species